rnacentral:rRNA from 2 species
GACACACGGCGGGUGCUAACGUCCGUCGUGAAGAGGGAAACAACCCAGACCGCCAGCUAAGGUCCCAAAGUCAUGGUUAAGUGGGAAACGAUGUGGGAAGGCCCAGACAGCCAGGAUGUUGGCUUAGAAGCAGCCAUCAUUUAAAGAAAGCGUAAUAGCUCACUGGUCGAGUCGGCCUGCGCGGAAGAUGUAACGGGGCUAAACCAUGCACCGAAGCUGCGGCAGCGAACGUAUCACCCAAGACAACUUUACGGAGUUGACGAUUGACGGAGCGAAGCGACGUCAAAGCGUUCAUUAAAGUCGAGUUGGCUUAGGGAUACGUUCGUUGGGUAGGGGAGCGUUCUGUAAGCCUGUGAAGGUGUGUCGUGAGGCAUGCUGGAGGUAUCAGAAGUGCGAAUGCUGACAUAAGUAACGAUAAAGCGGGUGAAAAGCCCGCUCGCCGGAAGACCAAGGGUUCCUGUCCAACGUUAAUCGGGGCAGGGUGAGUCGACCCCUAAGGCGAGGCCGAAAGGCGUAGUCGAUGGGAAACGGGUUAAUAUUCCCGUACUUGGUGUUACUGCGAAGGGGGGACGGAGAAGGCUAUGUUGGCCGGGCGACGGUUGUCCCGGUUUAAGCGUGUAGGUGUGUGUUCCAGGUAAAUCCGGUUCACUUUAACACUGAGGCGUGACGACGAGGCACUACGGUGCUGAAGCAACAAAUGCCCUGCUUCCAGGAAAAGCCUCUAAGCAUCAGGUAACACGAAAUCGUACCCCAAACCGACACAGGUGGUCAGGUAGAGAAUACCAAGGCGCUUGAGAGAACUCGGGUGAAGGAACUAGGCAAAAUGGUGCCGUAACUUCGGGAGAAGGCACGCUGACACGUAGGUGAAGUGAUUUACUCAUGGAGCUGAAGUCAGUCGAAGAUACCAGCUGGCUGCAACUGUUUAUUAAAAACACAGCACUGUGCAAACACGAAAGUGGACGUAUACGGUGUGACGCCUGCCCGGUGCCGGAAGGUUAAUUGAUGGGGUCAGCGCAAGCGAAGCUCCUGAUCGAAGCCCCGGUAAACGGCGGCCGUAACUAUAACGGUCCUAAGGUAGCGAAAUUCCUUGUCGGGUAAGUUCCGACCUGCACGAAUGGCGUAAUGAUGGCCAGGCUGUCUCCACCCGAGACUCAGUGAAAUUGAACUCGCUGUGAAGAUGCAGUGUACCCGCGGCAAGACGGAAAGACCCCGUGAACCUUUACUAUAGCUUGACACUGAACAUUGAGCCUUGAUGUGUAGGAUAGGUGGGAGGCUUUGAAGUGUGGACGCCAGUCUGCAUGGAGCCGACCUUGAAAUACCACCCUUUAAUGUUUGAUGUUCUAACGUGGACCCGUAAUCCGGGUUGCGGACAGUGUCUGGUGGGUAGUUUGACUGGGGCGGUCUCCUCCUAAAGAGUAACGGAGGAGCACGAAGGUUGGCUAAUCCUGGUCGGACAUCAGGAGGUUAGUGCAAUGGCAUAAGCCAGCUUGACUGCGAGCGUGACGGCGCGAGCAGGUGCGAAAGCAGGUCAUAGUGAUCCGGUGGUUCUGAAUGGAAGGGCCAUCGCUCAACGGAUAAAAGGUACUCCGGGGAUAACAGGCUGAUACCGCCCAAGAGUUCAUAUCGACGGCGGUGUUUGGCACCUCGAUGUCGGCUCAUCACAUCCUGGGGCUGAAGUAGGUCCCAAGGGUAUGGCUGUUCGCCAUUUAAAGUGGUACGCGAGCUGGGUUUAGAACGUCGUGAGACAGUUCGGUCCCUAUCUGCCGUGGGCGCUGGAGAACUGAGGGGGGCUGCUCCUAGUACGAGAGGACCGGAGUGGACGCAUCACUGGUGUUCGGGUUGUCAUGCCAAUGGCACUGCCCGGUAGCUAAAUGCGGAAGAGAUAAGUGCUGAAAGCAUCUAAGCACGAAACUUGCCCCGAGAUGAGUUCUCCCUGAGACUUUAGGUCUCCUGAAGGAACGUUGAAGACGACGACGUUGAUAGGCCGGGUGUGUAAGCGCAGCGAUGCGUUGAGCUAACCGGUACUAAUGAACCGUGAGGCUUAACCUU